GAUGAACACUGGCGGCGUGCUUAACACAUGCAAGUCGAACGAACCUUCGGGUUAGUGGCGGACGGGUGAGUAACGCGUGGGGAAUCUGCCCUCAGGAGGGGGAUAACGGUUGGAAACGACCGCUAAUACCCCAUAUGCCGAGAGGUGAAAUGAAUUUCGCCUGAGGAUGAGCCCGCGUCUGAUUAGCUUGUUGGUGAGGUAAUGGCUCACCAAGGCAUCGAUCAGUAGCUGGUCUGAGAGGAUGAUCAGCCACACUGGGACUGAGACACGGCCCAGACUCCUACGGGAGGCAGCAGUGGGGAAUUUUCCGCAAUGGGCGAAAGCCUGACGGAGCAACGCCGCGUGAGGGACGAAGGCCUCUGGGCUGUAAACCUCUUUUCUCAAGGAAGAAGAUAUGACGGUACUUGAGGAAUAAGCCACGGCUAAUUCCGUGCCAGCAGCCGCGGUAAUACGGGAGUGGCAAGCGUUAUCCGGAAUUAUUGGGCGUAAAGCGUCCGCAGGCGGCCUUUCAAGUCUGCUGUUAAAACGUGGAGCUUAACUCCAUCAUGGCAGUGGAAACUGAUUGGCUUGAGUAUGGUAGGGGCAGAGGGAAUUCCCGGUGUAGCGGUGAAAUGCGUAGAUAUCGGGAAGAACACCAGUGGCGAAGGCGCUCUGCUGGGCCAUUACUGACGCUCAUGGACGAAAGCCAGGGGAGCGAAAGGGAUUAGAUACCCCUGUAGUCCUGGCCGUAAACGAUGAACACUAGGUGUCGGGGGAAUCGACCCCUUCGGUGUCGUAGCUAACGCGUUAAGUGUUCCGCCUGGGGAGUACGCACGCAAGUGUGAAACUCAAAGGAAUUGACGGGGGCCCGCACAAGCGGUGGAGUAUGUGGUUUAAAUCGAUGCAACGCGAAGAACCUUACCAGGGCUUGACAUCCUGCGAACCUUUAAGAAAUUAGAGGGUGCCUUCGGGAACGCAGUGACAGGUGGUGCAUGGCUGUCGUCAGCUCGUGUCGUGAGAUGUUGGGUUAAGUCCCGCAACGAGCGCAACCCACGUUUUUAGUUGCCAGCAUUUAGUUGGGCACUCUAGAAAGACCGCCGGUGAUAAACCGGAGGAAGGUGUGGAUGACGUCAAGUCAUCAUGCCCCUUACGUCCUGGGCUACACACGUACUACAAUGCUACGGACAAAGGGCAGCAAACUCGCGAGAGCUAGCAAAUCCCAUAAACCGUGGCUCAGUUCAGAUCGUAGGCUGCAACUCGCCUACGUGAAGUAGGAAUCGCUAGUAAUCGCAGGUCAGCAUACUGCGGUGAAUACGUUCCCGGGCCUUGUACACACCGCCCGUC
rnacentral:rRNA from 1 species